rnacentral:misc_RNA from 1 species
UAGUGUGGGGCCUCGAGCCCCUAGGAGAGAUAACACCCUUGACCUUUCAAGCACCUUCUGUUUCCUCGGCGGGCUCGCCCGCCAGUGGACAACAACCAAAAACUCUUUUGCAAUAGCAGUAUCCUCUGAUAAAGCAAAUCAAAAAGUUA